CAUCUCAGCCGUCGGAUGAAGUGCUCGCUUCUCCUCCCCGCGCCUCCCCCAUCCCCACGCGCCAGCCACGCCGCGGAGCUGCGCGCCUGUAGCGUCGGCUGUAUCGUGAGAUGGAGAUAUGCGCCCGCGCCGGGAGCCCUAGCGCCAUGCCCCUUCCCCUCUCCUCUCUCGCCUCCGCCGCCUCCCCUCCCUCGCCUCCGCCGUCGCUGCCGCCGUGAUCUCCUCCUCCUCCCCAUCAAAUCCCUCUCACGAGCUAAGACCCCUCCACCAGCUCUCCUCCAGGUUAUUCUCCCCACUGCCCCCCAAACCCCAUUCCCUCUCCUGCUCCAGGCCACAAGCCCCACGUGCCACCACCACCGACGGAUCAGGCGCGGGGGACCACGGGAGCGAUUCCGGAGGAAAUAGCGGCAAGGGCAGCGGCGGCGGCGGCGGUAGCGACGAUGACGACUGUGAGGAGGCCGAGUUCGGGCCCCUGCUCAGGUUCGAUGAGGUGCUGCGCCUAGCCAUGGCACGCGGUGUCUCGCUCCCGGCCGAUAUGGAGGCGGCCAAGGAUGCUGGCAUCUGGGAAGUCCUGUUGCUCCGCUACUUCGAUCUGCAGGCAGCACCAUGGCCUCUAGCCGCGAUGAUCCGGGCAUUCUCGAUGCUCCACAACCGAAUGUUAGCCGACCCAUCAUUCCUCUUCAAAGUUGGAACCGAGGUUGUGAUUGACUCGCGCUGCGCCACGUUUGCGGAGGACUUCUGGGCGGAAUUUGAGCUGGAUUCAUGGAUACAGCCAUCACCCCCAGUUUCCAUUCUCUUAUCCUGCACAGUUCAUCGGAUGACAUAUUUGUGAUUCCAAAAGAGUAAUGGAUGCCUUUUAGGUCUGAAUUAAACGCAGAGAGUUGGAACAGUCAAGACAGCAAGCAGAUUAUCACUACGUUUCAAGUGCAUGUAUCCACGCCCAUGACCCAACCUUGGAUGCUACCUUGCUCCAGUGGAUGCCGGAUUUCCUUUGUUGCAUUGUCCAUCCUCCUUCACACUGAAGCUACGCAGGACCUGACACCAGUCCCCACAGUCCAAAUUGACUUCAGAUAUGUGUUUCCAGUUUAAAUUACAGGGUGGAAUAAAUAAGAAAAGGAUCGAAGCGAGCUGGACAUUUUUAUCCUUUUGAUUUUAUCAGGAGUACAUGAUUCAGUUUGCAGAUCAUCUGCUUCAAGCAAGUGAUUGUAUUUGUUAAUUAGCACUUUCAAAGUUACAAUCCAAUAAAGAGCACCUGAGCAGGACGGUGGUUCUCAGCAGUUGUAGCCAUGUCCUACCUGAAUAUUUGAAAAAAAAAAUGCAGGCCAUCAAAGAUGAACGGCAAUGCAACAUCGACAGCAGCGAGCUCCAGCCACCAGUCUCCUAAAUACAAAUUUGUUCCUUUUCUGGCACAAUUGAUUUUUAUAAGAAUGUGAUCAGUGAGAUGAACAGAUCAAAUACCAUUGAUUGCUUUGACCCACAUGAUCCGAUUCAGAAGGUAAAAUCAAAAGUCUGAUAUAAUUACAGUUAGUAUGUUCUGUUCAUGGUGUUACCUUUUUCUCCCUGUAUGCCCAAGCACAUGAUUUUGUUUGAGGAAUCUAUUUACUACAGUUUGCAUUUUUUUCCCUA